ACCUGCCAGCCGCGCACCCGCCGCCAGGCUCUAGGCUUCGGAGCUCAGCACUGCACGCGCGCUCCCCUCUCCUUGCUGGCCAAAUCGAUUGGUCCCCUUCAGGCUCCAGGCUCCGGAGCUUGCUUUACUUCAGUCCGCUUCUUCUACGUGUUGUGGCACAGUGGCCAAUCAGCAUCGAGACCGCGCAACACCAGAUUGCGUUGUCUCAUCAUCCUUGGCUCCGGUGAGUCUAUUGCGAUGUUGCCUGUCAAAUACCUUAUGGACAAGUUUUAGGUACAGUUGCCUGGUAUAUAAAACAAUACUCAAAGUUGUAAGUGCAUGCAUUUGUAUGGAGAUGUGGCAAUACUGAAUAAUUGUUGGUAACUGCAA